UUUUUUUUUUUGAGAUGGAGUUUCGCUCUUGUUGCCCAGGCUGGAGUGCAAUGGUGCGAUCUUGGCUCACCGCAACCUCUGCCCCCCAGGUUCAAGCGAUUCUCCUGCCUCAGCCUCCCGAGUAGCUGGGAUUACAGGCAUGUGCAACCACGCCUGGCUAAUUUUGUAUUUUUAGUAGAGACGGGGUUUCUCCAUGUUGGUCAGGCUGUCUCGAACUCCCGACCUCAGGUGAUCCGCCCACCUUGGCAUCCCAAAGUGCUGGGAUUACGGGCGUGAGCCACCACGCCCGGCCUGCCUUGAAUUCUUUUCUGCGUUAGAUCCAAGAACCUGUUCUUGGGGUCUGGAUCAGGACCCUCUUUUCCAGCAACAUAUAUACAUGGGGGAUACCCAGGGAAUGAGUCGUUCUCCAGGAAUUCCAGCUUAUAUAGCAUCUCCAACAAAGAACAGUGAAUGUUUAGAGAAGUGACAAGAUGGGAAAAGAACUUGAGUCUCCAGGGGCGGUAACUUGUGGGAAGGCAAGUAAUUGGCAGAUAAAGGCCAGUGAGUGAAGCUUGUUCAUGUCGAUUCCUCUGGCGUCAUCUCCAGGGGCCCAUGAAGGUCUCAAGUUGUCUUCAGUGGUUAACCUUUGUCCUCCUUUUUUUUUGGGACGGAGUCUCGCUCUGUUGCCCAGGUUGGAGUGCAGUGGCACGAUCUCAGCUCACUGCGACUUCUGCCUCAAGUGAUCCUCCUGUCUCAGCCUCCCAAGUAGCUGGGAUUACAGGUGUCUGCCACCAUGCCCAGCUAAUUUUUUUAUUUUUUGUUGAGACAGGGUUUCACCAUGUUGGCCAGGCUGGUCUUGAAAUCCUGACCUCAGGUGAUCCACCCGCCUCGGCCUCCCAAAGUGCUAGGAUUACUGGCGUGAGCUACCACGCCCAGCCCCAAGCUUUGUCCUCUUUGGUAGAAGGGGGUACAGGAUACCUUUUGUCUUCGUAAUCUAUGUCCUGCUUUUAGGCAAGUAGAGGAAGGGCAGAGAGCUUUCCUGCAUCUGCAUCUUCUCAAUUGCCUUCAGCUCAACAGUGCUUAUAACAAAGAGGCGUAUUUAGGGGGUUGUAUUCUGAUCUCCCACAGACAUUGCAGGUGGAGUGUCCUGAUGGCAGGGUGUGGAUCACAUCUCUGCUCUCGGGAGGUGAGGAGAGGAGAUCUGGGGCCUCCUCGACUUCCAUAGGGGAGGUUGGGCCUGCACUGUCCACCAUGACCCAUACAACCACAGACAGAAGUUCCUUGGUAGUAACCAGCACGUGUUCAUUACAGUGAAUGAAAAGACCAGAGCAGGUAGCAUGGAUCUCAGCCGCAGCUCAUGGACCACCCAGCGCUGGGACAUUGCAGAGGUUCCCUAACCUCUCCUAAGCCUGAGUUUACUCGUGCAGAAAAUGCCAGGGUGGACUUGGAGGAUAGCUACAGGCCCUGUGAGCACUAAGAUUUCCUGAGACUUCGCUGCUGUCCAUGCCCCUCCCCUGUUUUGACCUUUCCAACAGACUGGAGGCUAGAAUGAAGAUAAGGAGUACCAUUUUUUUGUUAGGCACUUGGAGACGGCCCAGACUUUGCUAUAGCAAAGGUUAAUGUUCUGUCAUCUCAAAGAUCCAUUUCCCCAGGCUGUCGGAAUGUAAAUGUUAAGGUGAUGAAAAUAGUGAAGCCUAGGUUCCGGCUCAUUUGAGUCAGAGCCCCUCACCCCUCACAGUGCAACCCUGGAGCACAGGGCCUCCUCUGUGGCCUGAACCUUCAUAAACUUGGGUUUAGGUUGUCAGCACUGAUUUAAAGAGAUUUGCUUUGUUCAGUUUGCUUCUGGGAAAGAACUGACAUUCACAGCAGGGUUUGGGGGUUAAGAAUGAAACCUGAGCUGGCUUCUUCCCCACUGGGUGUGUGUAGAGUGAGUCAGAUGUUUGCACAGAAGGCUGUGGUGUCAAAUCAAAUCCACAAAUUCGCAGGCCUUAUGCCUUUACCACUUCAAACCGGAAAGGUGUUGCAACAUAACAGUUUUAAUUGCUAAACCCUAGCUGCAAACCCAAAUCUCUGGAUUUAAUAAGAAUUGGGUGUGAAAGACUGUGAACAGUGGCAGUUUUCUGCUAGGUUUACCUUCUUUCCUGCUCUUGGUUGAGAUUUGCGGACCUUUGUAUCCACUGUGGUCUCCUUGGAACAAGCAACUGGAAAUUCUUCACACCAGCUAUGGCUGGUAGGAAUUUCGGGCCACAACUCAGGCUUCCAGACUCUGGACGGUAUUCCCAGAGUCAGCUCCCUUCUGAAUUGGGAGAAAGAGAGAAAGGAAAAUACAAGAAGACCCAACCAUGUGGAUUAACACCCUAUAGCAUGAUCCAGGCCCACAGCCAGCUCUGUGUUUCCAGGUGGGAGAUUACAGACAUCUACUUUUUCAAAAGGAAUAAUAAACGGAUAAAAAGCAAUAUUUUCUAACAUCUGUUAGAUACAAACUGGACCUGGCACAGUAGCCUUUUGGACUGAGUACUAUUAUUAUUUCCAUUUCACAGAUCAGAAAACUAAGGCUCAGUGAUAUAAGAAGCUUGCUCAAGGUCAUACUGCAGUGGUGGAAGAGGUUUUAAUACCAGUUUUCCUGACUCUAGAGUCCAACAACUUAUUUAUAAUCAGUGCUCAGCUGUAUCUUAGAUACUUAAAAAAUGCUGA